ACGCUGGCGGCAGGCCUAACACAUGCAAGUCGAGCGGAAACGACACUAACAAUCCUUCGGGUGCGUUAAUGGGCGUCGAGCGGCGGACGGGUGAGUAAUGCCUAGGAAAUUGCCUUGAUGUGGGGGAUAACCAUUGGAAACGAUGGCUAAUACCGCAUAAUGCCUACGGGCCAAAGAGGGGGACCUUCGGGCCUCUCGCGUCAAGAUAUGCCUAGGUGGGAUUAGCUAGUUGGUGAGGUAAUGGCUCACCAAGGCGACGAUCCCUAGCUGGUCUGAGAGGAUGAUCAGCCACACUGGAACUGAGACACGGUCCAGACUCCUACGGGAGGCAGCAGUGGGGAAUAUUGCACAAUGGGCGAAAGCCUGAUGCAGCCAUGCCGCGUGUAUGAAGAAGGCCUUCGGGUUGUAAAGUACUUUCAGUUGUGAGGAAGGGGGUAGCGUUAAUAGCGCUAUCUCUUGACGUUAGCAACAGAAGAAGCACCGGCUAACUCCGUGCCAGCAGCCGCGGUAAUACGGAGGGUGCGAGCGUUAAUCGGAAUUACUGGGCGUAAAGCGCAUGCAGGUGGUUCAUUAAGUCAGAUGUGAAAGCCCGGGGCUCAACCUCGGAACUGCAUUUGAAACUGGUGAACUAGAGURCUGUAGAGGGGGGUAGAAUUUCAGGUGUAGCGGUGAAAUGCGUAGAGAUCUGAAGGAAUACCAGUGGCGAAGGCGGCCCCCUGGACA
rnacentral:rRNA from 1 species